UAUUAUUAGUGUGAGUGUGAGAAUGAGAAUCCUCAAUAGAAAGCCUCAUUCAGCCUUACUUGUUCCUUGCCGUUAUUAAUGUCAUUUUAAUUCUGGGCAUGUGUUUGACUCCUGUUGUUUUACAGAGGUGUAACUAAUGUAGCACUAAUUAUGACCCACUGCCAUCUUUGUUUCAGAUCUAUGUCUGUGUACUUGGUGAGGCAGCUGACGUCUCGCCUUGUUCUGCAAAGACUGACAUUGAAGGGCACCAGCAACCCAGACCACUCCAGAGCACUGAUAAUCCUGCCGUGCCUGAGCCUGACAUGUUCUUGUCCAGGCAGAAGACAAAAGAGAGCUGAGUAUGGAUGAAAAGGAAUUCCUGUCGUCUGAACGGAGCACGGACAACAUGUUCUCCACCAGUUCAAGAGCCGUGUCUCCGCCCAGGACAGACAGGAAGAGAGGUUUCUCGGCUCCCUCCGCACCGGAGAGGGUGUAUCACUGCAGCAGUAGGUCAUUAAGGGCGACAUAUUUACCAUGUGCGGGCGGGUCCCGGAGGAGGGCCAUCGCACGGUGGCUACCGGUUUGAGCGAUGCCACCACAUGAUGAAAUUUUGUGUCGUCAGCCGAGAUGCUGUGGAGAGCAAACAGAGCCUCCACGUGGAUGAACGAUGACGAGGGGUCGUGGAGCCAGAAGUCCAGCGCUACGGAAAACGUAGCCGCAGCAUGAGGCAGAGGGCCGGCGGUAGCCCCUCCAGGGCGAUCUCCAUGGUUCGCUGCGUGUUCAAGGUUAGCACCUCAUACCACAGUGCAACAAAAGCAGUCUCAUGAGCGUUGGGAAGGACAAGCCCAGAGCCCAAAACAGACAGUGCAGGAGAUGACAAGCUGUCCUGUGCCAGAUGUUCUGUUGACCCACAGUGAGAGGCAUCAUUUCAGAAACACCAGGAAGACUGAACUCAUCGCAGGGAUCAAGCAGGGCUCGUGAUCUUCACCAGCAACUCCCUCACAAGAGGGAUAAACCCAGCAUUUCAUGAACACUGUGAUGGAGACCUUUGCUUUGUGUAAUGUUAUAAGUACUCAGAUAAUCCUCAGAGGGUCUGGACGUUUACAUAAUAUAAUAUCUUUAAGUCCUGUAGAAAGUUAAAUAUAUGUUGUGCUCUCUGGUUACUCUGGUAUGAAUGACUCUGAAUUACUUUAUGGUAAAUAACACACUAUUGACAACAAAUAGUGAAAGAAUUCCAGAUCGCAAGUUUUUAGUUCAAAAUACAAGUGACAACCUUUGACUUUAAUCGGGUUUUAUUUAAUUGUAUCAGAAAACAUCAUGUGCUCUUCAUGUAGCUGAGUACAUUCAGUGUUUAAAACAGAAGUUGUGCAUGUCUGAGAUCAGCAGUUUUCUGAAACACCAAACCGAGGUACUGUUAAUGCUGAUAUAUAGUGGCACAGUUACAUGAGUGAUUAAUCCUUUUGACUUUUUGUCUUUAAAUUUAUCAAUAAAACAGCUGCAGCUUUCACUGACAGCACAUGUGGUACUUUAA